UCUGCUGAAGUUGUAAUUGCUGGCUAUUUGGGGGUUAAUGCAGGGCACCCUCUCCCAGAAUCUCACUUGCAUUUCACAAGGCCUGUUUUUCCAGUCCUCUUUAGGCAGAGGAGAAACAGCUGUGCCCCCUUUGGAGCCCCAAUGAGUGUCCAGCAUUUGUCUGCAGCUUCCAGAAUGUCAGAAUGUUCCCUGAAUGGUACAUUUGUUCCACUUGAGAGUUCGAGGGAUGGGCAGGGGUGGGGCUGAGAACUGAGGAAGGGUGAAGGGAGGUGGACAUUGUUCAGAGUCCCACACUUGCUAUUCUUAAUUCCAGGAAGCAGGGCUGGCUGUUUCACCCUGACUGAGAUAAAUUAGAAACAUAAAGGAUGAGGGAGAGAGUUCUCAGCCAAAGGGGCCUCUAUAAGGCAUGACCAUCAACUUCAGCAACCUAGACCCUUGGCACUAGGGAACUCUUAUCUCACCCAUGGAGUCCUCUAUUUUUUUUUUUUUUUCUUCUUCUCCAAACCAGCAGCUGCUCUUUUUCUGGGCUGUGCAGGGAGUGUGGCAAGUGUGAAUUUGACCACAGGCAAAAUCUCCUGAGGAGAAGGCUCAGCACUAAUAGUUCAAGAGGGACAUUCUGGUUAAGGGAUGAAAAACAGCAACAUUCUACUGAACUCUAUCAAGUAUGAAGUACAAUGCCAUCCAUUAAGUGUAUGAACUCCCACUGUUGGCCAUUCAGUUGAUCCUAAAGGUAGUCAAGGAUCUUGGAGAGGGUUGACUUCCUCCAGCACCAUGGCAUCUGGCAAGUAACUGAAAAUAGAGGACUCCACCCCUCUUGUAGUUCUCCUGAUGCUCUUCACCACACAUUAGUGAUCAGAAAUGAAACGCAGUUUUCAUCCCCUGACCAUAAGAACUAGGCUACUUUCACUGGAACAAAAUCAGUUAAUUAUGAAGUACUCCUGAGAAUUCUGUGCUGAUUGUCAGAGUGUUUUUAGAGUGGAGGGAAGAAGAGGUAAGUAAACAGACCUGAAGACAAACAUGGCAAGAGUGUACAUAUGGGAUUUCUCUCUGCCUCUGUGGAGCUCAUGGAGACUGACACGUAAGCCACGCAUGCUUAAGACACACCCUUCUACAACACUGGGCAUCUUGUCUCUAUCUAGGACAUAUAUCACAGAUUUCUAAGACACAUCUAUAGUGUAGGGCUGCUAAUAAUACCUGACACGGCAUUCAGCCUGGCCCCUGGGGUGUGCCCAAGUUCUUACAAAGGGCUUCCUUUUUAACCUUCAGGAAGUAUCUUUUCUUCCUUUGGAAGAUGGGAAAGGGCAAGGGCCCUUGAUUCCAUUUCCUGCAAAAGGAAACAAAACCUCAGAGUAGAUUAGCAA